rnacentral:lncRNA from 1 species
UGCAAUUUCAACGGAUAAGGAGUUGGUCUGAAAAAACAGAACCAUAGAUCUGAUCAACAGGUUCGAGCUUAUUGAUAACGAGUUUAGUCUGAGAAAACAGAACCACAGAUCCGAUCAACAGCUUUGAGCUUAUAGGGCACAAAAUUAGCUCAAAACCACACAUGGAUUUUUAGUGCAGUACUCGGGCCAAAACUUCCCACAUCUUAUUGCUACUACUGGAGGGUAAAGUUUUGAGCUAGUUAGUUGGACCAAGACUUUUUUUUUUCUGAAAAACACAGUAUAAACGCAGGCACUCACAAAUAUGAACACAUGCUCCCCCACCCUACCCCUAUGAGCACCUUCGAGAGACUGAGCCGGUGCAUGUUUCAAAACCUUAAUCAUACGCCAUUCUAUGUGAGCUUUUCAGGGGAUGAAGGAAUGGAAGUACACCUUGAAAGAUGAGAGAUAGACCUUUUGGAAGGAGAUAUCACACAGAAAGCCAGAUUAGAUACAUUGUUGCGGUGUUG